ACGUGUGCGCAGGCGCGGCUCCACCUUCUUUUCGAUGCAGGCCGCGCGGCUGGGAGGCAUGGCGGCUUCUGGCAGGACCAAACGGGACAAGCAGUCUCGGGCCUUUGGCUGUGGCUUUUCUUUGGCAUCUGCGAAGACAGAGAGCACCAGACCUGCAGGCUGAAACUUGGAAAUAACGAAUGGAUCCCUGAAAUGACUACAGUCUCAGCCUUGGUUUCAGAGAUGGAAAAGGAUCCUGCAGAAGCAGGUGGCAGCGGUGAGCCGGCUGCCCUGGGCCCAAAGCAGAGACUUGUGUGUGUAAGUAGAACCCUUCCAAGUAGAUGGGCGGCGGGGGGGGCUGUUUGUUUUGCUGCUCCUGCCCCGGGUUUAGGAUUGUGCUGAGUGGCAGGGAGAUUUUAACAUGGGUUUGUUUUCUUUGCUAGAUGUCUGCAGUGUGGGAGGCAGAACUGAUCUGCUUUGCCUGAAGUAAGUGAGAGAACUCCUCCCCUGUUGCUUGUAGUCUUCGUUUCCAUCUUUCGUGUCCCCAGAAAGCCCCACACGCCUGUGAUGGUUAGUUAUCCCUGUCUGAACAUCUCAGCUGAGGGGAAACAAUCUAUUCUGAGGCACUGGGGUUUGGCUCUUAAAAGCUCAGGCUUUAUCAGGGAUCACAUUGAAUGGACUCCAGAGGGAAUUGUGUCCACCCUGCUGAAACCCCAGUCGAGUGCAUAUCCCUCUGCAACUUGAAAACCGAUGGUGUGGCUACCCUGUCGUGCUCUAGGCCCCUUGAUCAAUGGUCCUGAGGGUACAGGAUAUAAGAGGGGGCAGAAAUGGGCACGUAGCCCAGUUUGGGGUCAUGUUCUUACUGUGGAAUGA
rnacentral:lncRNA from 1 species